rnacentral:rRNA from 1 species
GACGAACGCUGGCGGCGUGCUUAACACAUGCAAGUCGAACGAAGAGCGAUGGAAGCUUGCUUCUAUCAAUCUUAGUGGCGAACGGGUGAGUAACGCGUAAUCAACCUGCCCUUCAGAGGGGGACAACAGUUGGAAACGACUGCUAAUACCGCAUACGAUCUAAUCUCGGCAUCGAGGAUAGAUGAAAGGUGGGCGCUACAUGUAAGCUCUCACUGAAGGAGGGGAUUGCGUCUGAUUAGCUAGGUGGAGGGGGAACGGCCCACCAAGGCGAAGAUGAGUAGCCGGGCUGGGAGGAUGAACGGCCACAACGGGACUGGGACACGGGCCAGACUCCUACGGGGAGCAGCAGUGGGGAAUCUUCCGCAAUGGACGGAAGUCUGACGGAGCAACGCCGCGGGAGUGAUGACGGCCGUCGGGUUGGAAAGCUCUGUUAAUCGGGACGAAAGGCCUUCUUGCGAAUAGGGAGAAGGAUUGACGGUACCGGAAGAGAAAGCCACGGCUAACUACGUG